CCUACGGGAGGCUGCAGUGGGGAAUAUUGGACAAUGGGCGAAAGCCUGAUCCAGCCAUGCCGCGUGUGUGAAGAAGGCCUUCGGGUUGUAAAGCACUUUCAGUGGGGAAGAAAGCCUUGGGGCUAAUACCCUCGAGGAAGGACAUCACCCACAGAAGAAGCACCGGCUAACUCCGUGCCAGCAGCCGCGGUAAUACGGAGGGUGCGAGCGUUUAUCGGAAUUACUGGGCGUAAAGCGCGCGUAGGCGGUCUGAUAAGCCGGUUGUGAAAGCCCCGGGCUCAACCUGGGAACGGCAUCCGGAACUGUCAGGCUAGAGUGCAGGAGAGGAAGGUAGAAUUCCCGGUGUAGCGGUGAAAUGCGUAGAGAUCGGGAGGAAUACCAGUGGCGAAGGCGGCCUUCUGGACUGACACUGACGCUGAGGUGCGAAAGCGUGGGUAGCAAACAGGAUUAGAUACCCCUGUAGUC
rnacentral:rRNA from 1 species